UGUCAUUUUCUCUUCCAGCGCCCCUGUCCCCCCACCCCCCGCCCGUAUUUCCCAGUUCCAGGUGGAUGGAAGAGGCGGAGGGUGAGAUGAUCCCGUGGCGUCUCCGCUCCGGGCCUUUUGAGCGGCCUCCCGGGGCCGUUCUACAACCUUGUGCUCAGAGGACGCAGUCUGCCCCUAUGGCUCAGAGUCUUGCUGAAACCUGGAGCUCAACAGCAGACAAAGCAGCAAACACGAAGAACCUGAAGCAGCCAGAGAGGAAGGUCAUAUGCAAGGUGCCAUAUGAAGGGCAGAGGAAGGUCACAGGUAGAGCUAGAAGCCAGAACCCAAACGCCUGCUGCUUCACCAUUUUCUCUGGAUCAAACUUUGUUACAGACAGAGGACGAGGGUUGACACAUAAACAUGGAAUAAAGUGAAAAAGAUUUACCUCCUCCUUUGCUGGAGUCAGGCCCAGCUACUUGGAUCUCGUGAGUCAUUUGCAGGAGUGGGAGGAGAGGUGGGCAUGUGUGCUGCGCUGCGAGUUCAGUCAAUAUUCUUCCUGUUUUCUUCUCUGUGAUUUUUGCUUUUUGUCAUCAAAAGUUACUGUAGUACAUAAAUAAGACUGAGACAUGCUAA